rnacentral:snRNA from 1 species
GUGCUCGCUUGGACAGCACUUAAGUGGAACAAUACAGAGAUUAGCAUGGCCCCUGUGCAAGGAUGAAAUGCAAAUUCAUGAAGUGUUCUAUAUUUUU